GACGAACGCUGGCGGCGUGCUUAACACAUGCAAGUCGAACGGAAAGGCCCUGCUUUUGUGGGGUGCUCGAGUGGCGAACGGGUGAGUAACACGUGAGUAACCUGCCCUUGACUUUGGGAUAACUUCAGGAAACUGGGGCUAAUACCGGAUAGGAGCUCCUGCUGCAUGGUGGGGGUUGGAAAGUUUCGGCGGUUGGGGAUUGACUCGCGGCUUAUCAGCUUGUUGGUGGGGUAGUGGCUUACCAAGGCUUUGACGGGUAGCCGGCCUGAGAGGGUGACCGGCCACGUUGGGACUGAGAUACGGCCCAGACUCCUACGGGAGGCAGCAGUGGGGAAUAUUGCACCAUGGGCGGAAGCCUGAUGCAGCAACGCCGCGUGCGGGAUGACGGCCUUCGGGUUGUAAACCGCUUUCGCCUGUGACGAAGCGUGAGUGACGGUAAUGGGUAAAGAAGCACCGGCUAACUACGUG
rnacentral:rRNA from 1 species